GAUGAACGCUGGCGGCGUGCCUAAUACAUGCAAGUCGAGCGAACAGAUGAGGAGCUUGCUCCUCUGACGUUAGCGGCGGACGGGUGAGUAAAACGUGGAUAACCUACCUAUAAGACUGGGAUAACUUCGGGAAACCGGAGCUAAUACCGGAUAAUAUAUUGAACCGCAUGGUUCAAUAGUGAAAGACGGUUUUGCUGUCACUUAUAGAUGGAUCCGCGCCGCAUUAGCUAGUUGGUAAGGUAACGGCUUACCAAGGCAACGAUGCGUAGCCGACCUGAGAGGGUGAUCGGCCACACUGGAGCUGAGACACGGUCCAGACUCCUACGGGAGGCAGCAGUAGGGAAUCUUCCGCAAUGGGCGAAAGCUUGACGGAGCAACGCCGCGUGAGUGAUGAAGGUCUUCGGAUCGUAAAACUCUGUUAUUAGGGAAGAACAAAUGUGUAAGUAACUAUGCACGUCUUGACGGUACCUAAUCAGAAAGCCACGGCUAACUACGUG
rnacentral:rRNA from 1 species